GGAACUUGUACAAGAACAAACUAGAGCAGUAAAUGGUAGAGAUGAAGCAAUAGUCCUAGCCAAGUCUUAUAUCACAGUGGCUGCAAACCAAGACUCUGAAAUGGAGAUAGGGGAUGAUAGUGGUGAAAAUAUUCAUAGAGUUGAGGCUUUUCUUGAUGAGAAUGGGAUUCCACCAGAUGCCUCCCAUUUUAUCAAUUCUACGUCAUCUGAGCCUAGGGGAAGAGCCCAUGAAUCUU
rnacentral:misc_RNA from 1 species